GUCGCGGUGACAGAGCGGCCAAAUGUACGAGUCUGUAAAACUCGCGCCCGAAAGGGCUACGGAGGUUCGAAUCCUCCCCGCGACA
rnacentral:tRNA from 1 species